AAGUCCAUAGCUGAGCCAGGUAAAACGUCUUUUUCCUGGCGCACCAGGCCAUGAAGCUGUUUGUGUUUAACUGUUACCCUUAGAUGAGAUGUUCCAUGCAGCCUGUCUAGUCUGAGGGCUUGGUAUUAG